ensembl:lncRNA
GCUUAAUGUGAGGGAUAAACUAAUUUCUGGAAAAACAGAGCAUGCACAGAGCGAGACUGUUGGGGCUGCUUGUGCGAGGGAAGCGAGACCUCUCUCCCAGCAGGCAGCACCCCAAGAAUGCUCAGAGAAGAGGAAUCAGAGAGCCAUGGCCAGGGCAGAUGUCAAGUAGGCUCAGGGGCCCGACUCUUAACCCCAAGCUGAGGGUUUGUGGACAGAGUUGGGAAGCCAGCAGCAUGCACUCUGGGAAAACAGAGCUGUGUUUUGUCAUUGGACUCCAAUAAUGGGUGAUAACUUCUUUAGCAAAGCUACCGCAUGAGAGCCCCUGUGGGAGCUGAGCCCCUCUGUUAAUGACUUCUUAAUGUUUCCUCACUGAAUGCAUUACAUGCGCUUUCAUGAUCAUUAAAAGGAUUAUACAAUCAUGUAACUAAAUAUUCAGGAUCGUAGAGGUCAAAAUCUGCCAUUUAAAACCACUAUUUUGAAUGAACCCUAAUAUUCACAAAUUGGACUUUUUUAUGUUUUUGAAAGUUUCUUAUACUCACCAAGGCUGUGUUAAUUAAAAAUACAGUAAAACAGUAAAACUGUGAAAUAUUAUUCAAAAUUUAAAAUACCGGUCUUCUUUUUUCGAUUAUUUUUUAACAUUAAAAAUAUUUUAUAUAUUAUUUAUGAUUUUAUAUAUAUGUUAUUUUAAUUAAUUAUUCCUGUGUUGGCAAAGCUGAAUUUUCAGCAGCCAUGACUCCAGUCUUCAGUGUCACAUGAUCCCUCAGGAAUCAUUCUAAUAUGCUGAUUUGCUGCUCAAGCUUAUUAUUAUCAGUGUUUAAAAAAAAAUAAAAUAAAAAAAUAAAAAACAAAGCUGUGUUGUUUAACCUUUUGUUUAAACUGUGAAACUUUUUUUUUUCAGGAAACUUAAUUUAACAUAACAUUUAAAAGAAUGUGAUUUAAAUAAAAAAAUUUUUUGUAACAAUAUAAAAAAUCCUAACUGUCCCUUUUGAUCAAUUCAGUGCAUCCUUGCUGAAUAAAAUUAUACAUUUCUAAAAUAUAUUUAAUAUGUAUAAAAAAAAAAUCGGCAGUGUAUCUUUCCCAGUGUCUGUGGUGGUUACAGCCAAGCAAUUAUCUGCAACAAAUCAGCAAAAUGAGCAGAUAUUACCCUAAAAGCUCAGUAGAACAGGUCAAAGCUUAUUUUCGAUUAUGUUGUCCUCUGUGGUUUUGGCGAUGGCAUCUUUGCUUGGCUCUCUUGCUAGGACACUGUAAAUGAGCCUAAGCGAAGAUCUUCGAAAAUGACUUUUGCAGUAAAAUCUGAUGCCUCUCUCCAAGGAUUUCCAUACAAUUUCCAUGUUCCUUUCAGAAAAGCAAAUUAAGACCAUGCAUUGCUGGAUACAGAAGAUAGUUUGCUGCUCUUGUACAUACAAAACACUCACGCUAAAAUCAUGGUGACCGUGAUUUUACCAAGUAUACACAACAUGUUCCUGGAUCAACAUCCUUGUUGAUCCUGGAACAACAUUCCAAUUAACCAGUCAGAACUGAGAGAUAUCUUUUCAGGAAAUAUUAGGCUUACGAUCAGGGUUAGGUGCUUCUACACCCUUGUUAAUCAGCUAUCAUUUCACACUGAUUUUAGGAAUAAAUUAUGGGUAAGGUUAGAUUUAGGGGUAGGGAUUGGGUUUAGUCUAUAUUUUUGAACAGUAAUAUUGAUCCAGGAUCAACAAAAGAUGUUGAUCCAGGAACAUGUCUUACUUGCCAAAAUCACAAAACGUCCCUCAACAAACAGUCGAAUAAGCGAUACAAAAACAUGCAAUAGAUAUGCGUGCCAAGGCCGACCAGAGCAGAUCAAGACGAAAUGUUGUUACAGGCCGUGCUUCACAAACAUUUGGAUUUACAAGCAUUUGCAUUGAACUUGAGGCGAUUUGCUUAUCUACUUGAAUGUCUUGGAAAUGUUGCGAACAAAGUAGAACGAAAAACGAGAGCUGAAACGCAGGAGCAAAGCGAGGAGGUCAGGACUGUACCAUUGUUUGGAUCCAUGUAAAUAAUCCCUUUGAAUAAAUAGCACAAGCGCAACAUGGCUUGGCUUCGAUAUGAACUUCUGAAAGUGAUAUUCACUGGUACUCUGUUUCACAAUUCACACGCUCCACUUCUUGUCACUUCGUCUGAUUACUUUAUGAACCUGUCAUGAAAGGGGGAGGUGAGAUUUUCAGCAUCGUUUGUUUAAGGGGCGACACUCUUGAUAUACUCAGCUGUUGUGUAUUUUUUGGAGAAUACAGUGAGUGGCCUUUGCACAUGUGGUGAAACACUGACAGAGAGGGGUAAGUGAAAGGAAGGAGAAAAGCAAAACAUCCCACAGGUGUUAAUGAUAUAAACCUGCCUGACAAGGUUCCACCAUGGAAACCUAGAGGAUGAUGGUAGUUUGUGUGUGAGUGUGUGUGAGCAGACACAACUUCAACUGCCCGCAUUGACUUCAUCAGCUGUCAGCUUAGCAAACAUGGUAAUUAAGAGCCGCAAAUUUGACAAAAGCUUCUGUGCUACACAUUUCUUAUUAUAUUACAAGUUGCCUUGCAGGAAUUCCACACAAAAGCUGCUGGUACUGAAAUGAGGGCAACAAAAUUGGGAUCCUGCCCCUUUCGUUCAUGCAUUGCUGAAAGCCAAUGGAAAAUUUUCAGUGUGCCAUUUAUUUCAUAUGUCAAAAUAAACCUGUGGACUUGUGACUUCUCUUCGGUUUAAUCUGUAUGUUAAAAGUGCAGCGUCUUGCAGCACGGCAAUGGCCAGUGUGUUGAGUAACUGAGGCGACAAAGUCAACAGAUCGAAAGAUGGGUUUGCUCUGCACCUGGGGAGCAAUGAGUGUAAGAGGGGGGAAAAGGUGUUAGUCGGAACAAUGACGUGGCCUGCUCAAUUUGAAAUGUCCUC